rnacentral:rRNA from 1 species
UUUAGAUCAUUUUCUUCACCAAUUAAUCUACCCAAAACUAAUUAAACCAUUCCCUUAUCUAGUAACGUCGAAUGAACGAAAAAAUUAAACCAAGUACCGAGAGGGAACAAAUUAUAACAAUUAUAGUAGAGAUAAAAUCUCGUACCUUUUGCAUCAUGGGAGAACAAGAAUUCCUUUAAAAUUUAAAUUACCCGAAUUUUAAGUGAGCUACUCUGUAGAACAGACCUAAUGUUGCAAAAUUAUUGUCAACUACAUAAUAGAUGCUAGAUACUUACCGCACUAAAAGAUAGCUGGUUACUCAGAAAAGAUAUAAAAGUAUCUCCUUUUCCAAGAAAAGAAACACUAACAGAAGGAUAAGCUUCCGUUAUAUCAACGGCUUAGGAUUACUAAAUUUUUAAAAGUAGGAAUAAAAUUUUCCAUCAUUAAUUUUGUUAUAAAAUAUAAAACAAUAUUUAGAAAAUAAAUUUACGUUAGCCUUGAUCAUCACUGAGUUAUAUAGAACAACUAUACUACUUAACUAUACAACUGAUGUUUUCACAAGUAUUUUUACACUUAAUAAUCUUUUUCCUAAAAUAAAAGUUCACAUAAACUUAAUUACUUAAAUAUAUACAAGGAACUCGGCAAACUCACUACUCCGCCUGUUUAUCAAAAACAUGUCUCUUAGAAAACAUUAAGAGUCAGGCCUGCCCAGUGAUCACUUUAACGGCCGCGGUACCCUGACCGUGCAAAGGUAGCAUAAUCAUUUGCCUUUUAAUUGGAGGCUAGUAUGAAUGGUCCGACGAGAGUAAAACUGUCUCAUAUAUAUUUAAUAGAAAUUAACCUAAAGGUGCAAAGGCCUUUAUAUAUUAAAAAGACGAGAAGACCCUGUUGAGCUUUAAUCUUAAUGAACAUUUCUUCUAUAUUUAUAAAUUUAUUUUGCUCACUAAAGAUUUUAAUUGGGGCGAUUAAGGAACAAUCACCAGCUUCCUGAACCUACUCAAAAAUAUCUGUAAAUUAAACCGAUCCAGCAAUGCUGAUCAACAAAACGAGCUACCACAGGGAUAACAGCAUAAUUCUUCUUGAGAGCCCAUAUCGAAAGAAGAGAUUGUGACCUCGAUGUUGGACUAGGGUAACUAGAAGGUGCAGCCGCUUUCUUGUUUGGUCUGUUCGACCAGUAAUUCCCUACAUGAUCUGAGUUCAGACCGGCGUAAGCCAGGUCAGUUUCUAUCUUUUAAUCAAUACAAAUUUAGGCUAGUACGAAAGGACCGCUUAAAAUAAAUACUUUAUUACAAAGUGAAUAUAAUCUAACUUAACUUU